GGGUUGUGAGGUUAAGCGACUAAGCGUACACGGUGGAUGCCCUGGCAGUCAGAGGCGAUGAAGGACGUGCUAAUCUGCGAUAAGCGUCGGUGAGGUGAUAUGAACCGUUAUAACCGGCGAUUUCCGAAUGGGGAAACCCAGUGUGUUUCGACACACUAUCAUUAACUGAAUCCAUAGGUUAAUGAGGCGAACCGGGGGAACUGAAACAUCUAAGUACCCCGAGGAAAAGAAAUCAACCGAGAUUCCCCCAGUAGCGGCGAGCGAACGGGGAGGAGCCCAGAGCCUGAAUCAGUGUGUGUGUUAGUGGAAGCGUCUGGAAAGGCGCGCGAUACAGGGUGACAGCCCCGUACACAAAAAUGCACAUAUUGUGAGCUCGAUGAGUAGGGCGGGACACGUGGUAUCCUGUCUGAAUAUGGGGGGACCAUCCUCCAAGGCUAAAUACUCCUGACUGACCGAUAGUGAACCAGUACCGUGAGGGAAAGGCGAAAAGAACCCCGGCGAGGGGAGUGAAAAAGAACCUGAAACCGUGUACGUAC
rnacentral:rRNA from 1 species